rnacentral:rRNA from 1 species
GACGAACGCUGGCGGCGUGCCUAAUACAUGCAAGUAGAACGCACAGUUUAUACCGUAGCUUGCUACACCAUAGACUGUGAGUUGCGAACGGGUGAGUAACGCGUAGGUAACCUGCCUGGUAGCGGGGGAUAACCAUUGGAAACGAUAGCUAAUACCGCAUAAUAUUAAUUAUUGCAUGAUAAUUGAUUGAAAGAUGCAACUGCAUCACUACCAGAUGGACCUGCGUUGUAUUAGCUAGUAGGUGAGGUAACGGCUCACCUAGGCGACGAUACAUAGCCGACCUGAGAGGGUGAUCGGCCACACUGGGACUGAGACACGGCCCAGACUCCUACGGGAGGCAGCAGUAGGGAAUCUUCGGCAAUGGACGAAAGUCUGACCGAGCAACGCCGCGUGAGUGAAGAAGGUUUUCGGAUCGUAAAGCUCUGUUGUAAGAGAAGAACGGGUGUGAGAGUGGAAAGUUCACACUGUGACGGUAUCUUACCAGAAAGGGACGGCUAACUACGU